AAGGGAAAAGCAACGGCCUGCAGGAAUUGCCAAUCACAGACAAUGGUAGAUCAAUGAAUGUUGUUGAUGGAGCUGCGAAUGCUGUUAACAUUCCGGAUUCAAAGAACACCUACAGCACUCGAGGAACAUAAAACAAUAUUGAUAUUUCCUUCAAAAUGCUGAUAUAUUUCAAGCAGAGUUUGUUCUUCCCAAGGCGAUAAAAAACUACUAUGUAACCCACCCCUCCCACAAACUAUUUUCUACCUUUAAUAAUCAUCUUUUGAUUGUACUGUUGAGGCUAAUUUGGUGAGUAAAAACCAUGAAUCAAUCGCGGUUUGCUUAUGCUUUCCCCCAAUUAUUCCAUUUCCGUACUUCUUUUUUUCUUUUUGGCUUAAGCUCAUCGGAUACUAUAACAAAAAGAUCUACUGCAAAAGUCAAAAUAACUUGCUCCAUGAAUUUUACUGCUAUCUCAAACUUUCCACGUUCAUCAUUUGUUCAAGCGUAUGGAGCUUUUUUUGCUUCUUUUUCACAUCCUGAUAGCUACAUUGCUAUAUAUUUGCUCUUCUUGUUUAUGACUUCGCAAGGUGAAGAUAUAAAAGCUAAAAGAAAAGGUUAAAUUCUGCAAUUAGUCCCUGCACUUUGAGAAAGUUGUGGGUUUAAUCCAUGUACUUUAAUUUGAUUAUUUCUAGUCCCUGUACUUUUCAAAAUUUAAAUUUUCAGUCGUAAUCAAACAAUAACUGUUAAAUUCAUUAACUUCUGCUAUUUCUAAAAUUUGAUCUCCAAAUAUAUUAUCAUGUGUGUAAUACCAUGUCAACUUGUUAUUUCCACAUAUUACUCACUAAAAAUCCAGUUGAUGGAUUAACGACGGUCAUUUAUGUCAAGACUGAAAUUUUAAAAUUCAAAAAGUAAAGAGACUUAGAAUGAUCCAAUUAAAGAAUACAAACCAAAUUUACAAUUAUACGUGUGGUACAAUACUAGUAAUUACAACUAUUUGAGUAAGGACUAAAAUUAACCAAUUAAAAACAACUAGGAUUGAAAUUGAUCAAAUUAAAGCAUAAGGGCUAAAUUCACAAUUAAGAAAAUAGCUUAAACCCAUUAUUGGUUUUUAACUAUUUAAUCAUACCAACGUGAUAAUGUUUGAUACAUUGAUGGUAUAUAAUCUAAUCCAACAAUGCAUUAAAUAUAAAUCCAUUAGAAGGUUGCAUUCCCACGUUCUUCCUAAUAAACUUAUUUUAAUAGCAACAUUUUCUUUUACUGGAAGUCAUUCCAGUCGCUCAAUUGCUUGCUUAAACCCCGUUGCUGGUUUUUAAUUGUUUAAUCAUAUGGAACAUUCCACUUUGUUUAUGAUUAACCUAUUUUAAUAGCAGUAUUUUCAUUUUACGAAACUGAUUCACUUGAAAACAUUUUUUUCUUAAAUUUAAUUUUAUGGAUUCUUAUUCUCCGCUAUAUAUCUCCCUUAAUUGCGGUUGUUGGUUCUUGGGAAUGUCACACAAACAUACCUGCAGACAAGUCUUCACUAAAAGAAUGGAAACGCAAGCCUCUGCGUACACUCCACAUGAUGGUAUUUUGAAUAAGAAGUUGGAAUACUAUGCAUAAAGAAACUAGACAAGUGGGUUGCAGCUUCUAAUGCUAUUUCAUCACAACAAAUUGGUAGGGGCUAUAAUAAAGGAGUCAAGAAUUGACAAUUCUAAGUUGGAUACCUAGUUUUAAGGUGUUGUGAAGCAAUACCAAACUAGCAGGAGAAUGCAAAAAAACUCUCACCAACACUUGGGAAAACAAUGUUGAACUUUCACGAGAUUAGUGGUGCUUAUACAAGCUUAAGAAUUCACAACUAUACCAAUAGGCAUGAUACCAUUUAUGCAAAAAACUACAAUAUUCAGUACUUUUAAAUAUACACUAGCCAUGUUUAGGCUUAUAUUCAAAUUACUACCAUAUUAUCUAUUAGUAAAUCUUACUCUAUAACUUUCUCCAUAUUUCCUUUUGAAACUUUAACUAUAAUAUCGUUUUGCUUUGACGGUGAAUUCUUUUUACUAUGAAAUUGUACUGUGUACACUAUGUAUUCGGCCUGGAAGAUCAUAUUAAUUAACUAAAAUCACUCUUAAAGAGAAGAUUCCUCCCCCACACAUCAAUUACAUGCCUUAACCCAGUAUUUUAAUACUCAUCAUUGUAUUCACUGCCCCCACUCAUAUUUCAACAACAUUUUUGGUCCAACAGAUAUUUAGUGAAAUGCGGAUUCUAUCUCCCAUGAAUUCAAAUAAGUAACUUGGUUGUGUAUUAAUAAUCUUUGAACCAUUUAUUUUGAUUAAAAGUAUUUGAAUUUUAUCAUGUCAUAUUUAAAUAUACGUCAUGAUGGACACGAACAUUUUAAAAUAAAACUUGAUAGAUAAGGAUAGGUAAGGCAUAAUAAAAGGAUGUUUUUUUUUUCUGAAAGAUGCAAAACAAGUGGUUGCUCCAAAUUUGUGCUACGUAAAAAGGGUAGCAAUUUAUUGAGAGUGAAGUGAAAUGAAGAGACAAGAAGCAGGGGCAGGAAUAAGAAUAGUUGUAUGUUAUUUUUAUGCAAACAUUCGAAGCUAUAUUGAGAAGAUAUAAAGUGAGAGAUGCCUAAUCUAAUUAGUGAUUAUUAAUCAGCAACCACUUAAAUCCAAUUAUCAUCUUAAAUUCUUAUUAUUCUAAUCUUACGAAGAAUUCCAGAUAUCCGAACUUGAGCAAUAUUCAGUUUGGGAAGAUGCUCUAAGCAAUAUAAUGUUUGUCUAAUCAUAAAUAUAUUAUUCUUUGUCGACGUCACUUGCACUAAUUACAUUAGUUUUGUUCUCUGUCCUUUCUGAAAGAUGCUACCAUUUCUAUAUUUCUAAGCUUACAAUUUAUUACCCCUUUGUAAAAACUCUAUUAACAAAUGGGUACGGUUCAACCAAUUAGGUUUCUAAUUUUCAGUUUAAAAUAUUAAAUGUAAAUAACGAUUGUGAACGGGGUUUAAAGUUAUACUAGUUGGGGAGAGGGGAUGACUCACCUUUAACUAGUUGAAGUGAUUGGUAUUAGAGAAUCACUUUUUUAAUUAAAACCUCUUCAGUUGGAUCGAGUUAUUGCGGAAUUGGAUUGUUUAUUGGUAUGAUUCUUGACGAUUGUUUUAUGUUACGAUCAUAUUUUAGAUCGUUGUCCUUCCAAUGGACUUGUUGGGAUGUUAAUAAAGUAGUCUUACUACAUGCAAACCACACUAAAUGAAAUAUACUCCCCACUAAAUACUUUGAUUACUAUUGAUUUGAUUCUUUGAUGCAUCAUGAGAAUAAAGGACCACGAAUGAAAUGUAUGGGAUAAAUCUAUUGACUUGGGUUAAUUAUCCCUCGCCUAUGUCUCUUGUGUUUGCUUUUAUUUUUACCAAUCAGUUGCCAUGAGUUCUACCAAAUCAGUUUUUUAACUGACAAUAAAAAAAAGAAUUGGAAAGUGAAAACAAGGAGACCAUAAUGAGGGUGAAUUCCGUGAGUAACUGGUUUUAGGGAAGCAGUUGAUUUUGGAAAUGGUAGCCACGCAAAAGCCACAUUGUUUCUUUCUGCAUGCAACAUCCGCACUUAACCUAAACAUAAUUUGGUUGUUCAAUGAAUCCAAACCCCACUUCCCAUGAUAAAUAGUGUAAUUAAAUUAAACAAACGAGAAGUAAAAGGAAAGCAAAAGGCAAAAGAAUCAUAUGAACAGAUAGCCACAUAAACACCCGCCUUUUUUUAUUUUAUUCUUUUGAUUUUCAUCAGCAAAGCGAUGGUAUUCGAAAUGAUUUGUGAUAAUGAGGAAUUUUUUAAUCUUUAUUAGUGGAUAAGUGAGUUUUACAUUUAUGGGAAACACUACACUUGCUUCUAUUAAUUUAUUAUUAUUAUUUUGUGUUUGCAUUUUUCUCCCUAUAAGAAGGCCAAUUCUGAUUUAUAACUUCCAAGCCUCAGUGCAAGCGGUGGUGGAGAGAUAGAAGAGAGAAAAAUGGGGGACCAAACAUCAGGUGCAGCAGCUUCCUCUAAUGUGUUGAACAAAGCGAAGCCAUACUUGGCUAUCAUCUCCCUGCAGUUUGGAUAUGCAGGGAUGUACAUCCUCUCCACCAUUUGUAUGAAGCAUGGCAUGAGUAAUUUCAUUCUUGCUACCUACCGUCAUGUUGUCGCCACCAUUGUCAUUGCACCCUUUGCCUUUUUCCUUGAAAGGUUCAUUUUUCUCCCCAAUCUCACUACACACUUUCAUGUAGAGACAUGCAUAUAUAAUCCCCAGCCUCAUUGCUGCCUUUGCCAUUCGUUUGUAUAUGCAGGAAAAUUAGGCCAAAGAUGACCCUGCCUAUCUUCCUCAGGAUUGUUGUUCUCGGCUUCCUGGAGUAUUGCUCUAAACUUAUCGCAUCUUUGUUAUGCAUUUACUAAAUGCAUGUAAUUUCUUGUUUGUUGAUAUAUUUAUGAAGAAAUAGAGUUGACAGUGGAAUAUAUAUGCGCAGGCCAGUGCUUGACCAAAACUUAUACUAUCUGGGAAUGAAGUUCACAACAGCAACAUAUUCAUCUGCUUUCGUCAACAUGCUUCCUGCUGUUACUUUCAUAAUGGCCAUGAUUUUCAGGUAAAAUCCAUCACUUCCAUUAACAUAUGCCACUGCACACUACACCACACCACAUCAGAUAACUUAAAAGGUUCCAUCAUGAUCUUCAUAUCAUCGAUAAGAUUGAAGGAAAUUAUCAUUUUUUAAUGGGUAAUUAUUUAUGUCAAAUAGGUUGGAGAAAAUCAAUUUGAAGCAAAUACACAGUGUUGCAAAGUUGGUUGGAACUGCAAUCACAGUGGGGGGUGCAAUGGUGAUGACCUUGUACAAAGGCCCCAUUAUUGACUUCGUCAAGUCAGGUGGAGCCACACACCAUGGCACUACCACCGAAUCUGCUGGUCAACACUGGGUUUCUGGCACCGUAGCGCUUCUUGGAAGUAUCGUUGGCUGGUCAAGCUUCUUUAUUUUGCAAGUUAGUUGAAAUAUUCACGUCUCUUAUUGAGCAAAGAUAGUUCAUUAAAACUAUUUAAUUGUUUACGCGCUAACGUUAAUGGGUUAUUGUUUCUGGUCCAGUCCUUCACAUUGAAGAAGUACCCAGCAGAGCUGUCUCUUACAGCUUGGAUAUGUUUCAUGGGAACGGUGCAAGAUGCAGGGCUGUCGUUUAUCAUGGUUCGUGAUCUAAGCGCCUGGAAAAUUGGGUUCGACUCCAGGCUUCUUGCUGCAGCUUACUCUGUAAGUCCAUUUUUCCCCAUCCAUGAUGCACUCUAAACGUCUUACUAAUCAGUAACCACAAAUGCUUAACACUUCAAAAUAAUCUGUGAUUGAUUAGGGAAUAGUGUGCUCCGGGAUAGCCUAUUACGUGCAAGGCAUCGUGAGCCGGGCACGAGGGCCGGUCUUUGUAACAGCUUUUAGCCCUCUAUGCAUGAUCAUCACUGCUGCGCUAGGGGCCUUUGUGUUAAAUGAAAAAGUCCACCUUGGAAGGUAUGAAAUUAACAGCAAUCUAACAUGUUCCUGCAACAACUUGCACUUUGAUCUUUAACAAAUAUGUUAUGAUAAGAAAUUUCACUGACACAUGAAAUAAUAUUACGGUGCACAAUAUAUCAAAGUUUUAUUAGAGAAUAUUACUUUUGCAGAUAGUGACAAAAUGCACUGUCAAGUAGUUCUCUUUGCUUUUAUUAACCAUCCAUUAAACAAUUUAGAAGUCUUAUUCAUUUAGUGGAUUUCUGCAUUGGUAUUCCUUGCUUCCCAUUACUCAUUUGCUUCUUUAUCUUUUAUUUGGUUGAUUUCAGCAUACUGGGAGCCAUUAUCAUAGUCUCAGGCCUUUACACUGUGGUUUGGGGCAAAAGCAAAGAUGUGAAAACCCCAGAACUUGAAGAGAAAAGCAACGGCCUGCAGGAGCUGCCAAUCACAGACAAUGGUAGAUCAAUGAAUGAUAUUGAUGGAGCUGCCAAUGCUGUUAACAUUCCAGAUUUAAAGAACACCUUCAGCACUCGAGGAACAUAAAACAAUAUCCAAUAUUUCCCUUAAAAUUGAUAUGUUUCGAGCAGAGUAGUUCUUCCCAAGGCGGUAAAAACUACUAUAUAUGUAAU
rnacentral:lncRNA from 1 species